GUGGUAGUCUCUAGAAUACUCCUCGUGACGCCACUCAAGUUCUUCCUUUCUGUCGAACUCUCGCGAGUUGAACAUGUCGCAUACUGCAGAACGAAGAAAUGAUGAUCAAUGGCCAGGGGAUUCAAAAAAUGGUCCUAGUGAAAGUGAACAACCCACAUACGAUGGACCUCCUGGAAUGGAUCCCGAUGGCGUCAUCGAAUCCAACUGGGACGUUGUUGUGGAGAACUUUGACGAAAUGAACUUGAAAGAAGAACUAUUACGUGGUAUUUACGCUUAUGGUUUUGAAAAACCAUCUGCAAUUCAACAACGUGCCAUCCUACCAUGUAUACGGGGGCUCGAUGUUAUUGCUCAGGCCCAAUCUGGGACUGGAAAAACUGCUACGUUCUCCAUAUCGAUUCUUCAACAAAUCGACACUAGUAUUAAAGAAUGCCAGGCCUUGAUCCUUGCACCAACCCGUGAAUUAGCUCAGCAAAUUCAGAAAGUCGUUAUCGCUCUAGGCGAUUUCAUGCACGCGGAAUGUCAUGCAUGCAUUGGUGGCACCAACGUUCGUGAAGAUAUGCGAAAACUGGAUCAGGGUGUUCACGUGGUUGUCGGUACGCCCGGUAGAGUUUACGAUAUGAUCAGCCGACGAGCACUUCGAGCAAGUAGCAUCAAACUGUUCGUGCUGGAUGAAGCCGAUGAAAUGCUUUCUCGAGGAUUUAAGGAUCAAAUCCACGAUGUAUUCAAAUUAUUACCUAACGAAGUGCAGGUUAUAUUAUUAUCUGCGACAAUGCCGUCUGACGUGUUGGAUGUAUCCAAAUGUUUUAUGCGGAAUCCCAUUCGUAUUUUGGUUAAGAAAGAAGAGUUAACAUUAGAGGGUAUUAAACAAUUUUUCGUUUACGUUGAACGUGAAGAUUGGAAAUUGGAAACGCUUUGUGAUUUAUACGAUACAUUAAGCAUUACCCAAGCUGUUAUUUUUUGCAAUACGCGGCGUAAAGUCGAUUGGCUAACAGAAAGUAUGCAUAAACGUGACUUUACUGUUUCCGCUAUGCAUGGUGAUAUGGAACAGAAAGAACGCGAUCUUAUUAUGCGUCAAUUUCGAACUGGAUCUUCAAGAGUUUUGAUUACUACUGAUCUUCUGGCACGCGGUAUAGAUGUGCAGCAAGUGUCACUUGUUAUUAAUUAUGAUUUACCUUCCAAUCGAGAAAACUAUAUUCAUCGAAUCGGUCGUGGUGGUCGUUUUGGCCGUAAAGGUGUGGCUAUUAACUUUGUGACAGAAGAAGAUAAACGAACCCUGAAAGAUAUCGAGCAAUUCUAUAACACUCACAUCGAUGAAAUGCCAAUGAAUGUCGCUGAUCUGAUCUAAGUCCGACUAUUGGCUAUAAUCCAUUAUACUAAAAAAAUAAUAAAAAGUAAGUGACAGAAGCUCUCAGCUGAUCGAUCUCUCAUGGUGUGCAGUUUUGGACAGUCCAGAUGUGGGCGACAUAUUUUUGGAAAUAAAGACCAGAUUUCCUGAUUCAAAA